rnacentral:rRNA from 1 species
AUUGAACGCUGGCGGCAGGCCUAACACAUGCAAGUCGAGCGGAUGAAGGGAGCUUGCUCCUGGAUUCAGCGGCGGACGGGUGAGUAAUGCCUAGGAAUCUGCCUGGUAGUGGGGGAUAACGUCCGGAAACGGGCGCUAAUACCGCAUACGUCCUGAGGGAGAAAGUGGGGGAUCUUCGGACCUCACGCUAUCAGAUGAGCCUAGGUCGGAUUAGCUAGUUGGUGGGGUAAAGGCCUACCAAGGCGACGAUCCGUAACUGGUCUGAGAGGCUGAUCAGUCACACUGGAACUGAGACACGGUCCAGACUCCUACGGGAGGCAGCAGUGGGGAAUAUUGGACAAUGGGCGAAAGCCUGAUCCAGCCAUGCCGCGUGUGUGAAGAAGGUCUUCGGAUUGUAAAGCACUUUAAGUUGGGAGGAAGGGCAGUAAGUUAAUACCUUGCUGUUUUGACGUUACCAACAGAAUAAGCACCGGCUAACUUCGUG